rnacentral:rRNA from 1 species
UACGUAGGGACCAAGCGUUGUUCGGAUUUACUGGGCGUAAAGGGCGCGUAGGCGGCCAGCACAAGUCAGUUGUGAAAUCUCCGAGCUUAACUCGGAAAGGUCAACUGAUACUGUGCGGCUAGAGUGCGGAAGGGGCAACUGGAAUUCUUGGUGUAGCGGUGAAAUGCGUAGAUAUCAAGAGGAACACCUGCGGCGAAGGCGGGUUGCUGGGCCGACACUGACGCUGAUGCGCGAAAGCUAGGGGAGCGAACGGG